rnacentral:rRNA from 1 species
UACGGGGGGUGCAAGCGUUAUCCGGAAUUACUGGGCGUAAAGCGCACGUAGGCGGCUUUGUAAGUUAGAGGUGAAAGCCCAGGGCUUAACCCUGGAAUUGCCUUUAAGACUGCAUCGCUAGAAUUGUGGAGAGGUAAGUGGAAUUCCGAGUGUAGAGGUGAAAUUCGUAGAUAUUCGGAAGAACACCAGUGGCGAAGGCGACUUACUGGACACAUAUUGACGCUGAGGUGCGAAAGCGUGGGGAGCAAACAGG